rnacentral:rRNA from 1 species
UACGAAGGGGGCUAGCGUUGUUCGGAAUCACUGGGCGUAAAGCGCACGUAGGCGGAUCUUUAAGUCAGAGGUGAAAUCCCAAGGCUCAACCUUGGAACUGCCUUUGAUACUGGGGAUCUUGAGUCCGGGAGAGGUGAGUGGAACUGCGAGUGUAGAGGUGAAAUUCGUAGAUAUUCGCAAGAACACCAGUGGCGAAGGCGGCUCACUGGCCCGGUACUGACGCUGAGGUGCGAAAGCUAGGGUAGCAAACGGG